rnacentral:rRNA from 1 species
UACGUAGGCAGCAAGCGUUGUUCGGAGUUACUGGGCGUAAAGAGUGCGUAGGCGGUGCUCCAAGUCUGUUGUGAAAUCUCCCGGCUUAACUGGGGAACUGCGUCUGAUACUGGCAAGCUUGAGUGCAGGAGAGGAACGCGGAAUUCCAGGUGUAGCGGUGAAAUGCGUAGAUAUCUGGAGGAACACCGGUGGCGAAGGCGGCCAUCUGGACCAGCACUGACGCUGAGGCACGAAAGCGUGGGGAGCAAACAGG